rnacentral:tRNA from 1 species
GGACCUGUAGCUCAGGUGGUUAGAGCGCACGCCUGAUAAGCGUGAGGUCGAUGGUUCAAGUCCAUCCAGGUCCACCA